rnacentral:rRNA from 1 species
AGUGAACGCUGGCGGUAGGCCUAACACAUGCCAGUCGAACGGCAGCACAGUAAGAGCUUGCUCUUACGGGUGGCGAGUGGCGGACGGGUGCGGAAUACAUCGGAAUCUACUUUUUCGUGGGGGAUAACGUAGGGAAACUUACGCCAAUACCGCAUACGACCUAAGGGUGAAAGCAGGGGAUCUUCGGAUCUCGCGUGAUUGAAUGAGCCGAUGUCGGGUUAGCUAGUUGGCGGGGUAAAGGCCCACCAAGGCGACGCUCCGUAGCUGGUCUGAGAGGAGGACCGGCCACACUGAAACUGAGACACGGUCCAGACUCCUACGGGAGGCAGCAGUGGGAAAUAUGGGACAAUGGGCGCAAGCCUGAUCCAGCCAUACCGCGUGGGUGAAGAAGGCCUCCGGGUUGUAAAGCCCUUUUGUUGGGAAAGAAAAGCGGCAGGUUAAUACCCCGCUGUUCGGACGGUACCCAAAAAAUAAGCACCGGCUAACUUCGG